CACCUCUGCCACGGGAGUCCGGCGUAGCCGGGCUGAGAGGUGGGCUGAGCCCCACGACCGUUCGCACCUGAUCCGGAUCAUGCCGGCGAAGGAAGGCUCGCGCCAUCCUUG
rnacentral:ncRNA from 2 species